GAACACUCCACUCUACACGUUAUAUUACACACUCUCUGUAUUUCUAUUUUUAUUUUUGUUUUCUCUUUUUUAAUUAACACCUACUUCCCUUUCUCUUUCUCUUUCUCUCCAAAAUCCCACACCCUGCAUCGCUAUUUCUCUCACUCACUCACUGUUCCUCUCAAAUGCUGAAUCUGAACCACACCCACUGAUCUGCAGGGUGGAAAACAGGGUCAAGAUUUGAGCUUUGGGGAAUGAGAAAAGGAAAACCCUCAUGAGAGAGGCAAUGUGAGGGAAGGUUCUAAGCUUUAGGAAAUGGUGGCUGCCAUUUCGGAAGACCCAUUGACCUCUUCUGAGAAAGACAACAACAGCAGCAAUGGCACCAUACCCAGAAGACCAAAGGGUAGGCAAGUUUCUUCAAGGUACAUGUCUCACUCUCCUUCACCCUCGCCUUCUUCAACCACAACAACAACAACAACUUCAACCUCAACAUCAACGACAAGUUCUUCUUCUCGUCGAUUCCCUUCCCCUCUUCUUUCUCAUUCCACCAAUUCCUCUACCCCUUUGGUACCAAAGCGUUCCCAAUCGGUGGACUGUCGCCACCCGCGCUCCUCAAUGCCGCUUCCCGAGGCGGCAAAGCUUCUGGUGACUUCCACUCGGAGCCUGUCGGUUUCCUUUCAAGGAGAGGCCUUUUCGCUGCCCAUUAGCAAGACCAAAGCCACCGCCGCCACCCCUCCGCCGCGGAAGGCCGCGACGCCGGAGCGACGGAGGGCCACUCCAGUGAAGGGGGAGAAUUCAAGGCCUGUGGAUCAGCAUCGGUGGCCGGCGAGGACCAGGCAAGUGGAUCAUCUUUCCAAGAGUGUGGAUAUCAGUGAUAAGAAGAAGGUUGUUGGGAAUGGGUUUGGGAAAGUGGUGAGGGAUUUGCAGAAGUCAAUGGUGGUGGAAGGUGAAAAGAGAAGGGCUUCUUUUGAUGGGUUAGGAGGGUUGAGUUUGGAUUUGGGGAAAGUUGAGUUGUUGAAGGGUAAUAGUAAUGCUAAUAAUAAUUCUAUUACCAAUGCUAAUAAUCAUAAUAAUAAUGACGGUGGUGGUGGGAAUUUGGUGAGUAAGUCUUCAAUGUCUUGUGAUCUCACUGCUUCUGAUACUGAUAGUGUUUCCUCUGGGAGCACUUCUGGAGCACAUGACUCUUCCGGGGCUGUCAAGGGCCCUAAGGAGCCUCGUGGCAUUGUCAUGUCUGCCAGGUUUUGGCAGGAAACUAAUAGUCGGCUUCGCCGUCUGCAGGACCCUGGUUCACCCUUGUCCACCAGCCCUGCUUCUAGGAUCGGGUUGCCAAACAAAAAUGCACAGUUGAAAAGAUAUAACAGUGAUGGUCCUAUGUUGUCGCCACGAACUGUGGCUUCUCCUGUCAGGGGGAGUGUGAAUGCUCGGCCUGCUUCGCCGAGUAAGCUUUGGGCAGGAUCCUCUCCUUCAAGAGGGAUGCCUAGUCCUGCUAGGGUGAGAAGCACAGUUGCCAGCGCCAUCAAUAGUGGUUCGGGUAACUCACCAUCCAUUCUUAGCUUCUCCGCUGAUGUGCGGAGAGGGAAGAUUGGGGAAGAUCGGAUAUUUGAUGCACAUACAUUGAGGCUUCUGUAUAACCGGUAUGUUCAGUGGCGGUUCGUGAAUGCUAGGGCGGAUGCUACAUUUAUGGUGCAGAAACUAAAUGCUGAGAGACAUUUGUGGAAUGCAUGGGUAACAAUUUCAGAACUUCGGCAUUCAGUCAUACUUAAAAGAAUCAAGCUUGUAUUACUGAGGCAAAAGUUGAAGUUAACUUCCAUUCUUAAAGGACAGAUUUCUUAUUUGGAGGAAUGGGCCCUUCUAGAUAGAGAUCACUCCAGUUCUUUGCUUGGAGCAACUGAAGCUUUGAAGGCCAGUACACUCCGUCUUCCGGUUGUUGAAAAAGCAAUAGCUGAUGUACCAAAUCUAAAGGAUGCUUUGGGGUCAGCAGUUGAUGUGAUGCAGGCAAUGGCAUCCUCAAUAUACUCUCUUUCUUCAAAGCAGGUGGAAGAAACUAACUGCUUGGUGGCGGAAAUCCUAAAGGUGACCUCAAAAGAAAGGUUCUUGCUUGAACAUUGCAAGGAGUUUUUGUCCUCGUUAGCAGCCAUGCAGGUCAAGGAUUGUAGCUUAAGAACACAUACGUUACAACUUUCGCGUGCGCCAAAUUCCAGCUGCCUGACAACACGUGUGUAGAACUGAUCUUAUUUGACUGCUCACUCUUAAUGCUAACACUACUCCCAGCCUUUUAUUUUCCACGGGGUGGAGAUAUAACACCGAAGUUUUAGCAACCAGAGACAUGAUUUUUGCAUAUCAUCGGUGUCAUUAUUCGUCUUGGACUGUCAAAUUGCUAACUGGUGGGAGAACAUAUGUUUGAAGUUGUCUAUGAACUUCGUUGUUGUUAACAAGUGAGAUGCAAUCAUGACAGCAUAGCAAAGUUGCAACUCAGGACCAUUCGUUUAAGAAAGCUACCAUGAUCAAAUUAAGACUUUUGGGACAAUUAUUUAAUUUUCUUGUACAAAUUUUGUUUCUCAAUUGAAAAUAUACGGACGAUACUGUUUCCCCUACCCCGGAAGAAGAAAAAUGAAAACCAAAAAUGUGUAGAUCUUGCAAAGAUAACUUUGUUUGGAAGCAAUAUUGACCAAUGAACCUAGUUUCUAAAUUAGAUGUAUUUGUAGAUAGAUGUCAUUAUCACCAGAAUCAAACAGACGAUUUUUAAGCAAUCGUAAACAGUUAGCGUGAGGACUGGUAAUUGGGAUUGAAAAAGAAGAAAGCCAGGAAUGUACUCCAACCACAAAGCAACACGAGCCCUAUUUCUUGCCACUAU